rnacentral:lncRNA from 10 species
UUUUUUGGCUUCUAGUACAUGUUUCUUCUCUUUUUAUUCCAGUGCCAUCCUCACUGUUAGAGUUCACUGGCGAAUCUCAACGCUCCACCAAAAUACAACUGUAUCAAGGAUCAUCCUUUGGUAUCACCUUAAUUGGUUUGUUUCCCUUCUGACCAAACAUGUUUCCAUGAGGAAAAAGAAAAUCAUGGGAACCUCCAUUUGAUCUAAAAGAGAAGAAACAAAAUUUGAGGUUGCACAAAUAGAAACUCACAGCAUAGAAGUUUCUAUAGGCUCUCCCUAGCCAAAGUUAGACUGUUGACGGCUGCUGUGAGACCUCAGUUCUUGUCUUCUUAGCUUAAAAUAAUUUAAACAAGAGACACACAGCAAAGGAGAUAGAGUGUGGAACAAUUUGCUGCAAAGGAAAAAAAAUAUUUUGAAAUUUAGGCGCAGGGCUGGGAGCAGUGGCUCACGCCUGUAAUCCCAGCACUUUGGGAGGCCAAGGCGGGCAGAUCACCCGAGGUCAGGAGUUUUGAGGAUUUGGACAUCUUUAAUGGAUAUCAGGGGAGAGUGGGUCAUUUUUCUGCCUUCCACACUGUAUUACCUUGAAAUGACAGAAGCUUAACAUACUUAAGGUUUAUUUCUCUCUCACCCCAAACUUAUUAAGGUUCACGUGUUUUCUCCUUGGUGCCUCAUGUCCACGUCGUGACUCAGGAACCUGGGUUCUUUUCAUCAUGGGGCCAUCAUGUCAGGACUCUCCAUUUCCAGGAAUAUUUUAGAUUUUGGAGAAAAGGCAAACAAAUUUAUUUAAUGUAUAUACAUGGGGAGAACCACCGAGAGACUGCCCACCCCUCAAGAGCAUUCAGAAGCUUACACACCUUCCUGGUGGAGCAGGUUAUGGGAGGGGAGGGAAGAGCGAUUCUGUUGAGGGGAUUACUAGGGAGAAUGAGUGGCUCAGGGAACAGAGAUGAACUUGUACAUUUCCUUGGAAAAGGUUCUGUUCAGGUGUGAUUACACUCUUGGACUUACAGAGAGGGGAAGAAGAAACAAUUGUUCCUUUUGGCAUGUCUAGAUCUUAGGCAGAUAAAGGUUUGAGGAGAGAUGUCAGGAGUAGGGAGAUGCCAGAGAGACCUCGAGGCUUCUUCAGUUCAGCGUUUAAAAGCACCACAUUUGGGGGUAUCUGCUUCUGACUCCUAACAAGGCCAUGUGACUAAAACAGUCACCUAGAGAAUGAACGAUGACAGAGAUGAGAAGAGAGUCAAGGUUGGGGAGAUGACAGGAGCCAAUGGUGGACACUGAAGUGGGGUGCAACUGCUGAUAAACUCAAGAGAGAACACAGGUAAGAAACUGUUUUCAUUCAGAUUAUACCCAUGUUUAUUUCAAAAACAGGGACGAAGAGCCUUCUUGUCGUCAGUCACGGGCUGAUAGGAGUCUACUUUUAGCUAGGAACGGCCAACGGAAGAUAAUUGUGCCAUUUUAAAUGCCACAUAAUGUUCUUAAUCAGCAACCAAGUGUAGAAGGGAGUCUGUAAAGGGCCUGAGGUCCUGAUUCAAUUUCUUCAGCUUCCCAAGCCCGCUCCCAAAGAGCAGGCAGGCCACCCAAAUCCUGCAGCUUGUGAAACCGGCUCUGGCCCCAGAAGGGAUUUAUGAGCGCUUCACUUCAAGGAAUACCACCCAGGUUGGCUGGCUGCAAAUGCGGGCUGCCUAUUAGUUCUCCUUCAUUUCCCAGGAAGUGUGAGUGAGAGAGCUCCCCACCUCCCGAUAGGCGACAAUCCCAGCCUCUUGACAUCUCUCGCGCUGAGCAAACUUUUCACUGGAGGAUCCCAGCUGUUCGCCACCUCCCCGCUUGCUUGCCGGCAGUCUG